rnacentral:lncRNA from 1 species
GGAAAUUUAUAUAUAUAGUGCAACAAAAAUCAUUUUAAGUUUGCAAUAAAUGAAACUAGCAUCCUUGAGAAAACUUAUUUUCCUCUAGUCUUCAUUGUGGAAAUAAUUGGUGGAAAAUAUAGUAAUAACAAGGGUCAACCAAUAUCCACAUAGUGAAUGACCUCAAAGAAAUGCAAGAUGUAUGAUUAUAAACAAUGACAUGUAUGUCCGGUAGGAGACGAUCUCCGAUGCCGUGAAAUCGGGCUUCCUUCCUUUCCAGAUCUGAUCCUGCCCUUCCAAAAGAAAAGAGCAAUGCGUAGUCACAUCUGUUGGAUGAACCUCCGACUUGAAAGAAUGUUCAAGCGUGCCUGCCUGUUUGUCGCACUACUCUAUGGUCUGUCUCUAUUGACAUAGAUAGGGGUAGUGUCCUGAGCGCGUGACAUCUGCUCGAAGUGGUCUUUUUGCGAGAAGUUCUUUGUCCCUUUACUCCGGGUUUACCGAAGGGUGAUCUGAACUUCUUUUCAGAAAAAUACAGGUUUCAGAUUCAUCUGAUAUCUGAUGGACUCCUAAACUCUAUUUCAGGCACUCUGUAACACUUUUCUCCAAAACCACAGAGCAUCAAUUCAUGAAACUGUUGAUCUACGGGAAUAUCAAUCCAUCACCAUCAUUGUCCCAUAUCGUACUGAAAUCUUAACGUGUUUAUAUGUAAUGUUCAAACAGUAAGGGACAG